UUUAACUGAGCGUUCAGUUACUUGACGUAGACCCGAAACCGGGCGACCUACCCAUGAGCAGGAUGAAGCGAAAGUAAAAUUUCGUGGAGGUCCGAACCCACGAGCGUUGAAAAGCUCGGGGAUGACUUGUGGGUAGCGGUGAAAUUCCAAUCGAGCCCGGAGAUAGCUGGUUCUCCCCGAAAUAGCUUUAGGGCUAGCCUCAAGGUGAGAGAUACGGAGGUAGAGCACUGAAUGUCCUAGGGGGUAUUGCACCUACCGAAGACUAUCAAACUCCGAAUGCCGUCAUCUUAUACUUGGGAGUCAGACUGUGGGUGAUAAGAUUCAUAGUCGAAAGGGCAACAGCCCAGAUCGUCAGCUAAGGUCCCUAAAUGUAAGUUAAGUGGUAAAGGAUGUGGGAUUGCACAGACAACCAGGAUGUUGGCUUAGAAGCAGCCACUCAUUCAAAGAGUGCGUAAUAGCUCACUGGUCGAGUGAUCCUGCGCCGAAGAUUUCCGGGGCUAAAACUUACUACCGAAGCUACGGCAUCAGUAAUGAUGGGUAGGGGAGCUUCCCAUACGGGUUGAAGCAUGACCGUAAGGACAUGUGGACAGUAUGGGAGUGAGAAUGUUGGCAUGAGUAGCGAGAUGUGGGUGAGAAUCCCACAGGCCGUAAACCCAAGGUUUCCAGGGGAAGGUUCGUCCGCCCUGGGUUAGUCGGGACCUAAGCUGAGGCCGAAAGGCGUAGGUGAUGGACAACAGGUUGAUAUUCCUGUACUACCGAUAACCGUUUGAGAGAAGGGAUGACACAGUAGGAUAAGCUAAGCACACUGUUGGUUAUGUGUGCCCAAGCAUUGAGGCAGUCAAAGUAGGCAAAUCCGCUUUGAUAAUGCUAGGAUGUGAUGGGGAGCGAAAUUUAGUAGCGAAGUAGCUGAUUUCACACUGUCAAGAAAAGUCUCUAUCGAGGUUAAAGGUACCCGUACCGC
rnacentral:rRNA from 1 species